rnacentral:pre_miRNA from 1 species
AGUUGAUCCAAGUAGUCUUGCCUUUGUAAGAAGACGAGUGCUUGGAUCAUCAAU